GACGUAGGGCGCGAGCGUUGUCCGGAUUUAUUGGGCGUAAAGAGCUCGUAGGCGGCUUGUCGCGUCGACUGUGAAAACCCGUGGCUCAACCAUGUGGUCUGCAGUCGAUACGGGCAGGCUAGAAUUCGGUAGGGGAGACUGGAAUUCCUGGUGUAGCGGUGAAAUGCGCAGGUAUCAGGAGGAACACCGGUGGCGAAGGCGGGUCUCUGGGCCGAUAUUGACGCUGAGGAGCGAAAGCGUGGGGAGCGAACAGG
rnacentral:rRNA from 1 species